CCUACGGGUGACAGCAGUGAGGAAUAUUGGUCCAUGGGCGCGAGCCUGAACCAGCCAAGUCGCGUGAGGGAGGACGGCCCUACGGGUUGUAAACCUCUUUUGCCGGGGAGCAACGUGCGCCACGUGUGGCGUCACUGAGAGUACCCGGAGAAAACGCAUCGGCUAACUCAGUGCCAGCAGCCGGGGUAACACGGAGGAGGCGAGUUGUAUCCGUAGUUAUUGGGUUUAAAGGGUGCGUAGGAGGGUCGUUAAGUCAGUGGUAAAAUUGCGGGGCUCAACCCCUUCCCGCCAUUGAAACUGGCGUUCUUGAGUAGAAGAGAAGUAUGCGGAAUGCGUGGUGUAGCGGUGAAAUGCAUAGAUAUCACGCAGAACCCCGAUUGCGAAGGCAGCAUGCCGGCUUCCGACUGACGCUGAAGCACGAAAGCGUGGGGAUCGAACAGGAUUAGAUACCCGGGUAGUC
rnacentral:rRNA from 1 species